ensembl:misc_RNA 7SK 7SK RNA
CGAUGUGAGGGCAAUCUGGCUGCAACAUCUGUCACCUCAUUAAUCGCCAGGGUUGAUGCAGCUGAUCUAGCUGGCUAGGCGGAUGUCCCCUUCCUCCCUCAUGGCUCCAUGUGUGUCCCUCCUAAAGCUCUGUGCUUGAUUGAAAAACAUGACCUUCCCUGAUAGAGCAGGACAGUUCUUUAGUCAGGGGUGUAAAAGUAGCUGUGCUCCCCUACUACAACCUCCAAACAAGCUCUCAAAGUUGGCAAAAAUGUACUAUACUAUUCCAUUUCCUUCCAGAUUUUUGCAGACUCUAAAAGAAAUAUUU